GGCCUGGUGGUGUAGUUGGAAACACGCUCUCUUCAUAUAUAUAAGUCCAAGUAUCCAUCAGAGAAAGUCCCUUGUUCGAAUCAAGGCCAGGUUA